rnacentral:lncRNA from 13 species
AGGCCCAAGCUUCCUUCGAUACACAUCCCUGUGUGAAAAGCUCUGAUGUUGAUCCAAGUUUUUCUGGGGCACCUGGUUGUGGCCCUAGGCCUGCUCCUGCCCUACCCUGUCUGUGAGGCCACCUCUCUGGGUGCAGUGGUCAAUGUUGUCCCUCUAGAGAAGAGUGGAGGAAAUAUGGUGAGGGCCCACUACACCGUGAUCUCUGCCCUUCCCUGUCCUACGUUCUCCGGAGUGUGUCAGACAGGGGAAGACUGUGUCGUGCAUACCACCUCGUUACCCUACACAGGACAGAAGCCCGCCUCAGGCUGGUGUGUCCGCCAAUGGCAGAGGACCAUUCCCAGCAACUACAAGGCCACCGUGAAUGUGGGGUAUGUGAUUCGCUGAGAGACCUGUUAUUAUUAUUACACUGUGACCAUUUGAUGUGCUUUUGUAGAACAUCUAUAGAAUCAAUACACACUGACUGGUCAUGUUCAGUGCUAGCUUCUGCAACAUUGAAGACCGUAAGGUUUCAUGAGUUGGUUUCAUAAUGGUGAAAAUGUUACACAAACUUACUUCAAUGCAGUUGGACAUUAGACCUCCUCAGUCCUCACAAUUCAGAACAUUAAUGUAUAAUGCAGUUUCAUGACUGAUCAUUCUUACUUUAUAUCAUAUGCAUUAUGUUGUCUAUGUGUUAUAAAGCANNNNNNNNNNACACAUCCCUGUGUGAAAAGCUCUGAUGUUGAUCCAAGUUUUUCUGGGGCACCUGGUUGUGGCCCUAGGCCUGCUCCUGCCCUACCCUGUCUGUGAGGCCACCUCUCUGGGUGCAGUGGUCAAUGUUGUCCCUCUAGAGAAGAGUGGAGGAAAUAUGGUGAGGUUACACAUUGUUAAUUACCAGUGCUGUCAGCUUUUAACACUGUGUAUUAGGAAUUUCAGGAUUGACCUAAAAUAUGCACUGCGAUAAUGAUAGGNNNNNNNNNNUCAUUGUUACCAUGUAAUUAAUUAUAUGACCUCCUGACCUCACGUCACCUUUGGCAGGUGAGGGCCCACUACACCGUGAUCUCUGCCCUUCCCUGUCCUACGUUCUCCGGAGUGUGUCAGACAGGGGAAGACUGUGUCGUGCAUACCACCUCGUUACCCUACACAGGACAGAAGCCCGCCUCAGGCUGGUGUGUCCGCCAAUGGCAGAGGACCAUUCCCAGCAACUACAAGGCCACCGUGAAUGUGGGGUCCAACGUGAAUGUGUUUCUGUUCUUGUGGGCUGGACCCUCCAACCAGUCUAACCCAUUGAGACUAAACCAGCCCCCUUACUGCAGCCUGCCUCCUCCUCUCAGGGCUCGUGUGAACUGCCCACAUCACUUCCCACUGACGGUGAAGGACCUGGAUGGGGACACAGUGCUCUGUCGCUUUGCCCAGGCUGACCUUGGAGAAUGCCUUGACUGCCCCCAGUACAACUUUCUGAAGAUGGAGGAGGAGACGUGUACGUUGUUGUACAACGGUAAAUCAUCCGCUGGCCAAUACUCUGUGCAGCUGAUGGUGGAGGACUUUUCAGGCCAAACCCAAACCAACAAACCCAAAGCACUCAGUUCCAUCCCACUGCACCUGUCCCUUACAGUGGAGGAGGCGUCCUCAAGCUGCACUGCUGAGCCGGUCACUACAGGACUGACACCAACAGGGGGAGCCACUAUCUACGUUCUGCCCUAUGAGCAGAUCAACGUGUCUGUCACCUUUCAUUCUGACCUAGAGAGCGUGUCAGAAAUAGUGGUGGUUGGUCCCCCUGGCCUCUUCAGGACAGCGCUGGAAACCAAGGGUUCCCUGGCCACCAUGAAUCUCACAUGGGUCCAGAGCCCCAGUAACAUGCCCUCCCCUCUUUUGCCCCUUUGUUUCCUGGCCAACACCAACAGGUAA